rnacentral:tRNA from 1 species
GGAGGUAUGGAUCAAGUGGGGAAAUAUGAGCUUAUGAAGCACAAAACUCUGAGUUCAAACCCUAGUACCACCA